AAAGUUUUGAAGACCUGUAUUGUCAAGAUUUACGUUUUUCUUCGUUUUCUCCCUCGAGCAAAUGCGGCAAUGAGUUCUCACGGCAUGUGUGUGGAGAAGGAGUUGAAUAAAUGCCCGUUUUGAAGAACUGCUUGUACGCCUGAUUGACAAGAGGGAGCUACAGUGAGAACUCACCCAGCCCGGCGCCAGAACAAGACGGUGUUCGGCAGAGCUACAAGCAAGUCACUUCACUCACCUCUUCCAUCGGACAGAUAAGAGACUGUACAUUCACCUGCCUACACAAGUAGCUACCUGAGUCCAGAGAGCUUUGGGUGCCAGUCAACAAUAAGUAAACAUUUGAACAAGUUAAAUGUUUAAAGGUGGACUAGCCUCAAUUGCUGUAAAGGGACCUACAAGUGCUAAAUUGUGCAAUGUUAUGGUGAUGUGUGCAUGUUGUAAGGUUUAAGUGCUUGCUUAUUUGCACCUAGUAAUGUCUGAUUGAGGUGUGAACGACCAUUCAUAGCAUUUGAAAACAAGUUCAUUUGCGAACAUUCAAAGGUGUAGAACAACAUUUAAGUGAUUAAGUCAUUGCAAUGAAAAAUUAAGUUUAUUGUACAUUUAGUCAAUAUAUUAGACAGGUUGGUUGAUAAAGUAAAUUACAGGAGUCAGUAGUAAUUCAAGAUAGCCUACUGUAGUUAAGUGAUAAAACUAUAACAUCAUUACAUUAGUAAAUCAGAUAAAUACUGAGUUCAUGAGACUUCCUAAAAAUGGAUGUGUCCAAGAUAGAAGGGAUAACUCCAAUCUUAGAAGGCAUUGAGGAUGCUGAUAGUGAGCAAGCAGAUAAAACUCUUAAGGGGGAGACUGAAAUAAGUGAAGGCAAACAACCUGCCCCAGAAGAUGAACUAAGAAGAAGUGAAAGAUCGAGAAGGCUCACUGAGAAGGGACAAGAACUCGAAGAGACUAAACUCAAAGGUCUCCAACAUCGUUUCUCACGUACCUAUGACAAGUGGAAGAUUCUUGCUAAGAAAUCAAGGAAGGAGAUAGAGGGAGCCUCUUCUCAAGAGAACCUACAAACUCUCAUCAACAAGAUAAAAGAAGCAUCAAAUGAUGUACAGCAGGCGUACGAAGACCUGCGCAAAUGCAUAAUCCCUGAUAAAGAGACACGCCGUCGAACAGACACCUGCGACACUGUCUCAAGGCAGAUAUUAGAGCAUGCUUGGAACCAUCUCCAA